AGAGUAAAGGAGACGCGCGGAGAUGGAGAGAGCGUGUGUUCCCGCGCGCCGCUCUCCUCCCGGGAUGGGAAGUGUUUAGUUAUCGAGCGCACCCCUGCGCCGGCUCCGCGUCUCUUUAUCUGAGCGGACUGGAAGACUCUCCGCGUAAAGGAACAAGACGGAAGGGGAGGAAGGGGGAAAAAAAAGAGAAGGAUACGCGAAGACGCUGCGUCACCGGCCCCGGAGUGAGGUCAAUAUUUGAUGCCGCACGUGACGCCAACGAACGUUAACGGUGGAGCGGCCGCUGCCAUUAGCUGCUGCUAACGCCAGAUUCGAACCAAAUGAGAGCGAACGAGGCGGACCUGGACAUGAAAAGCGGCUCUUCCCCGCGCAGGAACACGGAAAGAACAGCCUCCGGUCGCGGCAGCUGCUCGUGUGUCGUCGUUGUGGGAAAAAAAAAAAAACGGGAAGCGGCGUCUGUCUUGAUCUCCCAUCUUCCCCCUUUUCCCGUCCAGCAGUUCCUUCUCCAGUCCAACUGUCUCAGCUUCCAUCUCAUCCGCCGUCUGGUGGAAAGCUAAUAACAGGUGUGUCUUCAUCCCGCCGCCUCCUCAUCCUUUCCCGCCAUCUUCAAGCUGUCUGUGGUUUCUUUCGGGUCACCAGGCCUCCUUACAAGGUGCUAAGUAUGAUAAAUGUGUGCAGGCGGGUGAGCAGACCUCUGGGUAAGGUCUCAAAGUGAAACCUGCAAACUGAGCUUGAAGACUUCUUCUGAUGAUUAACUCGGAUAUGCACGUGGACAUUAUCUAUAAUGUUUGUUUCUAACACCCGCUCUGUGCCAUUACCACACAUCUGUCCAACAUGAACAGCAGCAGCAGUAAAAAUGGCCAUAACUGUGUUUGAUUGGACACAGAUUCAAGUGUGUGUGAUUUUUAUGAUGCAAAGAUAAUUAUCUCCAUUUAUGAGAGAAUGUGGCGCUGAUGUUCUUCUUGCUCCAUGAUCGGUUCUGGCUCUUCUAUUAAUAACACAGAAUUAACGGUCUAGUACCCCGAAUUAAUGCUUUGACCCUCCUAAAAAUGGAAAAAAAUAACAAGUAGGGGUAGAGGUCAUAAACAUUUAUAGAUAUGAUAUCAGCUGUAUUCUUACAUUUAGCAUACUAGCAAGAAUCUUUUAACCAGACAUUCAUGGUGUUUAUGGUGCAGUUUCAGCGGCAAAAUUACAACUACUGCACACCCAGAGGUGGCAACUUUCUUGUCGCAGGAGGCAAAUCCGCGAUCUGAUUAACGACAGACUCACUUGUGUUAGCUUUCUAGAGACUGUUGACUAGUGUGGCUAGGCUGGUCACUCACUGGAUUGCCUUCUUCUUCUGCUGGCUGUUAGCACAAAUAGGCUAGCAUUCGGAUUAGUUAGCAUGCCUAGGUUGGUCACCUGUGACUUUCUUAUUUAAAGGAAACUUUAUCAAAAAUCAUGGUUGGCAUACCUGUCGCGGCCUUCUAUCUUCCAAAACCAAAAAUUCCAACAAAGGCCGUGGGUGGUAACGGGUGGUUUGAUUUCCGACUUGGUUGUUUUAAAAAAAAAAAAAAAAAAAAAGCUUUAUUUCUUGUAAAAAAUAGAGAAAGAAUAAUUACUAUAAAUGUCUUACAACUUAAUUGAAAACAAAAAUAAUCUUAAUUUUAUGUUUCAAGCUCUAGAAAGUGGUAAAAAAAAUAAAUUAAUUUACAAAAUUUCUUGUGAACACACCAGACGUUUACCAAGCACCCAGUGUGUUCUUAAUUACUCAAAUUAAUGGGAGGGUCUAACAAUUACCAGCGUAAUCUAAACAAUUCAAAUAUAAAAAUUAAUUACAAAUUUUGGUUCUAAACUAACUUUAAUGUAUUCCAACUGCCCAAAGGAGAAAACUAAAUAGGUAGAAAUUACAAUCCACAAAAUGGAGCCUAAAUUUCCAAAACAAUACCAAUCCGACCGUCAUAUGGGACCAAGCUGGUGAUCAGAAUGGUAAAGAGGUGUGGUUGUGUAAUUUAGGAUUUUUGGCUGUUGACAGAGAUGUAUCAUACAAUAAAAAAAAAAGUCAUAAGAAGCAAAAUCCAACCAACAAACAAACAAAACACAGUCAUAGACAGCCAUGUGAAAAAUUACAUGAAACAACAUCAUCAUAUUUCAGAUCUGGAUCAGUUGUGCUUUGAGCUUUUGACUCACAACACCACACAGGAUGUUUUUAGACUCUAUUCAGUUUUUCAGAAAUAUGUAUGUUUGCAGCGCACAGUCAGAAAACAACAGUAAUUAUGUGAUGAGAGGGCAGUUUGCUGUGAGAGUGUGUCUCCAGUCUGUGUGCGUGCGUGUGUGUGUGUGUGUGUGGCAGGGACAGACGGUGCUGCUUGAGUGUACUCAGGUGCAAGGAAGCGUGUGUGCAGAGACGUAAUGUUCCUAAAAUAGUCUGUCCAGCCCAAAAUGCCUCGUAUCAUUUGCUUUUGCAAAUUUCAACUUCUGAAUUCCAAACCAGUCCUGCUGAUUCACCACACAACUCUUUACAGUACUUCCUAAUGUAUUCAAUCAUCAAUUCAUCUAUGAAUACAACAUGGACCAACAUGUCUUCCUGACGAAGUGCUUUUAAAUGUGUAUUUUGUAUAUAUAUACAGUAAAUAUAUAUAUGUAUUGUCCAACAUUUAGUAUUGUUGUCUGUUGUCUGCAGAUGCUUUUUCUUUCAAAAAGUCAGAUAUUCAAGUAAACAUUUCUUUAGUGACCAAUUAAAUGUGAUCUAUAAGACAAGCUAGUGGCUGCUUCUACUCAACAUUUUCACCUAAUAAAACCCCAGGCAGUGUGUCAAAGAGAUCUCAAAUCCUGUAAUUCCAAGGUAUUAAGCAUAUUCAGAGCAAGUAGAAAAUCAAGCACACUACAUGAAUAUAUACGUAUGGUGUUCUACUUUUCAGUUCAGGGACGACCUUGGAGUAGUUUGCUUUUUGAGUUGCAGCCCAAUCCGAAAAUACAUGACGCUGUCUCUUUAAGAGCUACAGUUACAGGUAAGUUACUGGGCAGCAGAAUUCCUUACUGUCAGCUUCCAGCUGGAUAUGCAUGAUGGUGAUAAAAAUGCAAACGUCUUGUUAUGCGGUACUGUAAAAUUAGUGAGUAUUAGCGCCGAGCAGCUAAUUACUGUAGCCAGGUAAAUGCUACAGCUACAUGAGAUAAACUUAGACUGAAGAAAGCUGGAAAACAUGGCAGUUGGAAUAAAAGCUUGAAGUUGUUUCUUCUCUUUCAUAUGUCUGUGUUGGGUAAUACUGCAACAGAUAUGAACAUACAGGCCUGGAAAGUUGCUUAAAAGUACAGCACUAGAAUAUAAUAAAUGUAUUGAUGUCAGGACAAGCUUUUUCCAUAAGUAAUAGACUUAUGGAAAAAGUCCAGGACUAAUAUUUUAGCCCAUAUCCAAUCGUGUAGUCUUGGGCCUAGUAAGAACCCAGAUCUGGAUGUCAAUCAGCUGCUGACUUGAACCAUGCUAAACAUAAAAAUAAAAAAAAACCCUCAAAAGUAUGAAAGCUGCUUGUGAAGAGGGAGUGAAGCUUUCCUAAUCAGAACUAGGUUUAUUUUUCUGCACUGUGACGCUCAGCUUCAUUUCCUGCAACCAAACGUACGUGAACCUCUUCAAAACCCACAAUGAAAAGAUGCACCUUCAGGCGUGUAUUACUUUAACGUCCCCAUAAAGCUAGACAUUGCGCAUUCUUUGCUCAUGAAUGCCUUAAUAUGCGACUCUCCUCUGCUUCUUAUCAGUUUCUUGCUUUAAACACACUUUCUGAUUCUUUAAUUAGUAUUCAGUCAUCUGCUUGGAUAUCCUUGUGAACUUCAGAAAUGCCACAUAUUCAACAAAUAACAA